rnacentral:rRNA from 1 species
GACGAACGCUGGCGGCGUGCUUAACACAUGCAAGUCGAACGGAGUGGCGAACGGGUGAGUAACACGUUGGUGACCUGCCCUGCACUUCGGGAUAAGCCUGGGAAACUGGGUCUAAUACCGGAUAGUGUGGGAUGGGCCGUCGGCCCAUCAGUUUGUUGGUGGGGUAAUGGCCUACCACGGCGGCGACGGGUAGCCGGCCUGAGAGGGUGGACGGCCAGGUUGGGAUUGGAACACGGCCCAGACUCCUACGGGAGGCAGCGGUGUGGAGUUUUGCACAUUGGCGGGAAGCCUGAUGCAGGGACGCCGCGUGGGGGGUUCGGGGGUUCGGGUUGUAACCUCCUUUCACCAUCGACGCGGUGGUUGGAGAAGAAGCACCGGCUAACUACGUGCAAGCAGCCGCGAUAAUAC